UACGUAGGUGACAAGCGUUGUCCGGAUUUACUGGGCGUAAAGGGCGCGCAGGCGGCGCAUUUUGUCAGGCGUGAAAGCCCCGGGCUUAACCUGGGAACUGCGUUUGAUACGGAUGGGCUAGAGUUCGGGAGAGGAGAGUGGAAUUCCCAGUGUAGAGGUGAAAUUCGUAGAUAUUGGGAAGAACACCGGUGGCGAAGGCGACUUACUGGACACAUAUUGACGCUGAGGUGCGAAAGCGUGGGGAGCAAACAGG
rnacentral:rRNA from 1 species